rnacentral:rRNA from 1 species
ACGAACGCUGGCGGCGUGCUUCACACAUGCAAGUCGAACAGAAAGGCCCUGCUUUUGUGGGGUGCUCGAGUGGCAAACGGGUGAGUAACACGUGAGUAACCUGCCCUUGACUUUGGGAUAACUUCAGGAAACUGGGGCUAAUACCGGAUAGGAGCUCCUGCUGCAUGGUGGGGGUUGGAAAGUUUCGGCGGUUGGGGAUGGACUCGCGGCUUAUCAGCUUGUUGGUGGGGUAGUGGCUUACCAAGGCUUUGACGGGUAGCCGGCCUGAGAGGGUGACCGGCCACAUUGGGACUGAGAUACGGCCCAGACUCCUACGGGAGGCAGCAGUGGGGAAUAUUGCACAAUGGGCGGAAGCCUGAUGCAGCAACGCCGCGUGCGGGAUGACGGCCUUCGGGUUGUAAACCGCUUUCGCCUGUGACGAAGCGUGAGUGACGGUAAUGGGUAAAGAAGCACCGGCUAACUACGUG